CACCAUUUUGCUGUUGCAGGCACAGUGGCCCGUCGUAAAGGACAGUAUGUGGUCGGGAGUUGAGAUAGGUGGUCUUACACUACAUAAUGUGACAUGCUCACCAGCGGCUGAUUUAAUUGUCACCAAAGACAGAUGUCUGCUAAGUUCUGGCAGUGUCAGAAAAGUUUGAUUAAAAUCCCCGAGUGUGACAGCUGCUAUGACACUCAUCCAAAAACCUGCAAUAGAUGGACGGCAUAUGAUUACACAAAACUCACAGGACUGCUACAAAUACACUAGUGAUCACGGCGAAAUAUAAACAAAACUUAUAGGAUUUAAAAGAAGAGUGGUUCGUUGAAUUGUGGCAGCAGUAAGAAUGUCUGUGUAAUGUCUCAUCACACUCACAGAAACACGACAUGGAAAGAAACAGAGAAUGAAUUGCAGCUUCCAGGUAUGUGGCUAGUUAAUUAGCAUGCAGACAUUCUGUUCGUCGAGUUUAUUUACUCCUGUGACAAAGGGAACCAAGUGCAUGCUUUCCGGUUGAAGAGCUACACACCUGUGCCGCUUCACUCUGCACCCAGUAUAGCAGAAUGUAGUAACUUUCUUCAUCAUGCAAUCUGACUUGAAGAACAUGUCAUCUGGUAUAGAAUUCUGUCUAAUAGACCGUAAUAGAUGAUACAGUGUAAAACUGGCUGAAGGCAGUCACGACUGAGCUCGGGUACAUCCUGUUUGCUUGGAUUGUCUUGCGAUGUCUCUAGAACUUGUCUGGAGUCCACCUGUGGCAAACUUAGUUGAUUGGACAUGACUUUGAAAGGCCCACACUUGUGGCUCCAACAAUUCACAGUGCAUGUCAGACUGGAAACCAAGCCACGAAGUCCAAGGAGCUCUCUGCAGAACACUGUUAAGGUUGCCUUGGGCUAAAAAAUGAGCCAUAGCAUAACCAUCUCUAGGAUUCAGGUAAGUGGAUUAGAUUUUUAUUAAAUUUUCAUUGUUGCUUCAAUAUGUGCUUGAGCGGGAGUUAAGGUGAUUUAGGCAGGACAUUAACUAUUAUCAUCAUAAAAAAUGAGGAUUUUAAGUUUGUUGUUCACUUAAAAAUGUACUAAAUUUUACAAAUGGGUAUAAACACUAGUCACUAUGGUGGUACCUUUCUAAGGGUAUGUCUUUUGUUCAUUAACUUUGAUGACCUAGAAGGUGUAGAGUAACUAAUUUAUGGAAUUAUAAUUUAAGUACCACCACUUUACCCUUAAAAGUACAUUUAGUAUAGUUCGUACCGUUUGUAAACUAUACUGUGGUGUUGCUUUCUGUUGUGAAGUUUGCAGCGUCCGUGUCUUGCGUGAACAAAAGUCUGUACUACUGGUUAUUUUGCUUUGUUGUUCUGAGUGGUAAAGAAGCCACGUGGACCAGAUCUGCUGUGAAAAAGAGGAAUACUGAACUGGAGGAGUCAUCCUGACCAAAUGAAUAGACAAAUUAUAUUAUGGGUUAUUAAAUAAAAUGGUUACAUGGUAAAUAAUUGAAAUAAGCAAUGCAGUAAGUAAUUACUGAAGAGUCCAUUAAGAAUCUGCCUAAUAACUCAUUCAAGUCAAUUACACAGAUUAAUUAGAUUUUCCCUAAUAAAUGUGGCAGCCAAUGUGUGUAAACAUAUUCUUCAUCUAUAUGUAUAAAUAGAUGAAUAAUUUAACCUAGUUUAUAAUUUAAUCACACAUAUAUUCCAUCCAUUCAAAAUCAUGAGUCAGAAGAAACUUGUUUUUGAAAAUGUUGCAAUGACGCUGACGUAUUUGUUUCGGUAUGCUGAACUAUGUUGGAAUGGUGCCAUGGCUCUAGCUUUAAGCCAGCUUGUAAAACUGCACGUGUGUGUGUGUGUGUGUGUGUGUGUGUGUGUGUGUGUGUGUGUGUGUGUGUGACAAUAUAAGUCCAGAUGAUGGCAGGUUGACAUAAACUAAUGUGUUUACACUAGAAAGCAACAAAAUGACAGAUGAUCGCAGCAAAUUAUGUCUAUAUAUUCUCAAUUAUAUGGUAAUUAUUUGUGAUGCAGUGCAAAAAUAGCAACAUGAAAUGUGGAAUUCAACAUCCUCUAGUUUUUACUUACAGCUGCCAAGAAUGCAUAAAUCCAUGAAAUGUAUAAAAGACUAAGUAAAGUACAAUAGGGAAAUUUGACACUUGGAUUUGAAGUCUAAGAGCAGCUGCAGAAGGGACUUCAGUGUGUAUGUACAAUAUUAGUUCCAAACACUUUCUAAAGAAAAGCUAAAUGAUGUGAUAUGUAGAAAUUGUCUAUGAAUACACUGUGGCCAAAAGUAUGUGGACACCCGACCAUAACACCCAUAUGUGGUUCUUCCCCCACAAAGUUGGAUGCACACAAUUGUAUAGGAUGUCUUUGUAUGC
ensembl:lncRNA